ensembl:lncRNA
CCCCCCCUUCCUUGUUUUAGACCCGGGUGUCCACGGUCCCCGGUCAGAGGGACUCGAGCUCCAGAGACUGAAGAGUAUCCCGCCUCCUACCCAGCCUUCACCCUGCGCCCUGCCCUCUCCGCCUCCCCGUGGGGAAGGGUCCGCUGGAGUCGGGGGGAGGGAGCUCCGCGCGGAGCCGGGUCGGGUCGGCCAGCCUAGCAAUUUUCUACCACGAACCUAACGAGCUAUCGAUAUGUAUAUGUAUGUAUGUAUGUAUGAAGUGUACAUGUAUAGCACCUAGCGCCUGUAUAGCCAUGUAGAUACUGACAAAAACAGACACUCGCUGUAGUUCUAACCCAACAGUGCCUGGCAGCCCAGGCCAUAGUGUACAUAGGGCCCCAGGCCCCACGCCCAGCUUUGUACAGCCCCCCUUCCCCAGAGCCGAUGGCCCCAGGGCAGCGCCCCUCCCCGGCCUCAGGGCAGGGAGAGAGCAGAGUUACCUCCACCCACAUCUCAGCAGGGACCCCCUACCUAACCCUCACCCCUCACUCCCCCCGUCACUAGUGGAAAGCCCUCUCUUCGGGGAGUCAGAUAAUGUGGGUCUCAAUCCCGGCUCUGCCAGUGACUUCCUGAAGGAAGGGGAGGGGGUCCCUCCUUUCCCCUCCCCAAAUGAGGGGAUGGACUAGAUGAUCCCAAGGGUCUUCCCAGCUCCCAAAUUCUAAGAUUCUUCUCUCAAGGCCCUCUCUGCCCCAGUUGUAUGGUGGGGAGUUGUUAUUGCCUGGGGACAGGGCUUCCAGCUGGAUGGGCUUCAGUGUCCUGCCUUGCUCCCCAGCAGCCCCGUCUGCCUGCCUCAAUGAGGCAGAAACCCCCCAGCUAAAAGCACAGUGCCUCCCUGAGAGUGGAGGAAUGGACAAAAAGCUGGAGGUCUGAGUGAGCUCUUCCACAGUCAGGCCUUAAGGUCAGGGUUCCAGAGGGUUUCCUGCCCUGCCGGGUCCUAAAUCCCAAGGAGCACUAGGUUGGAUCUGUUCGGGGCUAGUGGUGCUGGGAAGAGUCCUGCUGUUACCCAGAAGCCAAGGAUGGAUUCUGAGGGACACAAAAUUCCCCCUGGCCGGUGGCUCCUCUCAAACAGCUUCCUUUCAAUUCUUCACGUCACCUGUUUGCCCUCUGGGCUAGGUACUAGGGGAAGUCACCCCGUCCUCAGGAAACUCAGUGAUGAAACCCAGAAAACUGGUGAUAAAGGGCAAGGAGAGGGGUGAAAGUAGUAGCUGGGGGAAGGGUCCUGGGAGAAGAGGUCAUUGUAGACUAGAAGGCUUCCAAAGGAAAGUGGGAGAGGCGGGGGCUUCAACUGGCCAGUGAAAAGUGAGGUUGGGAGUGAGAAAGGGGGUUCCACAUGUGGCAGAACGGGCAACGGUGCAGUUAGGGAACCAUGAGGAAACCUAACGGGGUGAGCUUUGGAGAACCCCUGGACAAAAGCAUGGAUACACAGGGUGGGCUUGGAAGUGUGGGGAGCUUCGAUGGCCACCCCGGGCAAUCUGUUCUUGAGUCUAAAUCCUGGGUCGUAGAAGGUUAGAACGAGAAGGAAAUCUGGCCAGCGUUCUAGUCCAAUCCUCUUCAUUUAACGGAUGAGGAAACAGAGGCGACUGGCCCAAAGUCGUUCAAAGAACUAAUUAGCGGAAGAAUCCAGAUCAGGUGUAGAAUUUGGGUUUCUUGAUUCACUGUCCCAAAGGCAAUGGAGAGCCCCCAUAGGUUCUGGAGCAGGAGAGGAUAUGAUGGAAAUAGUACAGACCUCCUUGCCCACCUCCAGUCUUGUGUCUUCCCAAGAAGGAGCCCGAGUGACUGCUCCAGACUGCUGGAAGCCGCUCUUCCCCCUGCCAUGGCUCCCUGCCUCCCACUCUGAGGGAACCAGGUCGGGGGUCCCGAUCUCUGUCCCUGGUGCAGCUGGGGGGGAGACUGUAGGUGCUAAUCAAUGACUGACUGAUUGUGGGAGAAGAUCACCAGUGCUUGGGGAGGCAUUUGCCGCUCUCCGGUCCGCGCUAAGGUGAGUUUGUGAAGCAGCCUUUCUGAGAGAGAUGGCCCAAGACCUCCUACCUUAUUAAGGUUCCUUAUUCAGCCUCACCCUGAAAGAGAUCCGGACCAAGGGAUUCUGGGUAAGUGAACUUGAACGUUUUAGUCAAGACUAUGAAGGAAAGAAUGGGAGCCCAGACCGGGAUGGAGGCUGGAAGACCUGGGAGAGAUUAAGGCAGCCUGGGAGCACCGGAAUGACUGGAGACUAUCUCAGAAGAAAGUCAGGCUAGAUCAAAAUCCGACGGAGAGCUUGGCUUCCUAGCCUGAGUUAGAGGGGGUUUGGAGAGGGGCUGGUCAACAAGGCUUCUCCCCCCCCCCAUGGUAAUGAGCGCCUCUAAAGUGGGGGCAUCCCCAGAAUCCCGGGGAUCCUUGUGGGGGAGCGACCAGGGAAGAAACACCGGAGGAUGAUGGGAUGGGUGGAAGGGGCCCCCAACCUCUCUUAAGGCCUUUAGCCCCAUCCCCAACAAUAACUUGCUGGGCUGAGGGGCCUAGUGAGGGAGGGAGUGUCCAUUGGCUCAGCUGGCCUGGAGGGGAGGGAAGGAGAGGUCAGCUGGCUGCUGGGAGGCUCUUGGGGGGCGGGGGGAUCAGUCACAGCGGGGCUCAGCCCAACCCAAAGAUCGUUGUUCUGGAAAGCCUCCCCCUCCCCCCGGACCCUCCAGGCCCCAGGCCCCAGGGCCAGGCCGGAUGGAAAGAAUCUAAUUGACUGAUUUGCUGUAUGGUCAGGGACCCUUCCAUGAAAAAAAAAAAAAAGUUUGCGGGGUGUGUGAUCCCUGCCCCCCGGCACUGAAGGCUUGGCCGUGGCUGAGAGCUUAGCGGAUUUCUGCCUGGCUGGGGAGGGGGCAGAGUUAGGGGGCGCCCAGGCCGGGCGGGAGGGGCUCCCGGGCCGGAGGAGAAGGGCUCGGUCCGCCUGGAAAGCGUGAGCUCUCAUUACCGGCAGGCUUCAGGCAAGCGGAGGAAGCCAGCGGGGGGUGGGGGUGGGGGUGCUGAUGCAGGCUGAGGUUCCCGGGAGUUCCCUCCCAGCUCCGAGAUUCGGGGGCUUCGGCUGCGAGCCAGCCCUCCCACUCCCACCCACGAAACCGGAGGGGGCUGUCUGCAGCCCCGAGAGUAGGCUCUGAGAACGCCUUCAGACACCAGACAAAAGUAAUGGGGGGGCUUUCAGGCACAGGACCGGUCGCUCUGGGAAAGGUGGGGGUUUCUGGGGUGCGGGGGGGGGAGGGAGAGGGCUCAUUCCCAGUGCUCCCAAAAUCGGGCCGCUAAUGGAGGCUUCCGCGAACUCUGUCUCCGAGCAGGGCGGGUGUCCCCAACGGGCAGGGCAGGAGAGAGGCGCGGAGAAGCAGCCAGUGAGGACCGGGACUCGCCCCAGCCAUGGGUCUCUUAAGCGUACCGCCAAGGGGGCGAGGCUCAGCUACCCCCCGGAUCUGGUGGGACUGUGGGGGUGGGGAGCUCGGGGGGAGCCUCCAGGGCCACCUCUGGCCCCUGGCACUCCACGGGGGAGCGAUCGGGGCUCCCACUCACCGAGGGCUUGUGGUGGAAAAGCUCGGGUUGGGGGAGGGGUGCCGGGGGGCCCUGGACGCCCCAUCUUCAUCACCCUCCCCCAGCCACCCACCCACAACCCCGGGCGCCGUCCCUUCCCCCGCAGAGCUGGCCAUUUUGGAAUCUUCCACUUUUAAAAACAGAAAAACGGUGAAUGCACCGGAUUGUAUAUUUUAUUUAAAUAAAACAAAAACUUUCAGC